AGGACGAACGCUGGCGGCGUGCUUAACACAUGCAAGUCGAGCGGAAAGGCCUUUCGGGGUACUCGAGCGGCGAACGGGUGAGUAACACGUGAGUAAUCUGCCCAUCGCUUCAGGAUAGCCAUCGGAAACGGUGAUUAAUACUGGAUAUGACAUUCCUUCGCAUGUUGGGGUGUGGAAAGUUUUUUCGGCGGUGGAUGUGCUCGCGGCCUAUCA
rnacentral:rRNA from 1 species